rnacentral:rRNA from 1 species
UACGUAGGGGGCUAGCGUUGUCCGGCAUCAUUGGGCGUAAAGCGCGUGUAGGCGGUCCGGUAAGUCCGCUGUGAAAGUCGGGGGCUCAACCCUCGGAUGCCGGUGGAUACUGUCGGGCUUGAGUACGGAAGAGGCGAGUGGAAUUCCUGGUGUAGCGGUGAAAUGCGCAGAUAUCAGGAGGAACACCAAUUGCGAAGGCAGCUCGCUGGGACGUUACUGACGCUGAGACGCGAAAGCGUGGGGAGCAAACAGG